GACGUAGGGCGCAAGCGUUGUCCGGAUUUAUUGGGCGUAAAGAGCUCGUAGGCGGCUUGUUGCGUCGGCUGUGAAAACCCGCGGCUUAACUGCGGGCUUGCAGCUGAUACGGGCGGGCUGGAGUUCGGUAGGGGAGACUGGAAUUCCUGGUGUAGCGGUGAAAUGCGCAGAUAUCAGGAGGAACACCGGUGGCGAAGGCGGGUCUCUGGGCCGAUACUGACGCUGAGGAGCGAAAGCGUGGGGAGCGAACAGG
rnacentral:rRNA from 1 species